AGGAAUAUUACAGAAUGCGUAAUUUGGCCGGGGAAAAACGUUGUCUUAAUGACAGAGCCUUGAAUGCGGCGGCAUUAAAUUUAGCAGCUAUCAGACGACAGGAAAUGUAGUGACAGGUGGGUCUUGUGUGUAUGUGUGUAGGACGGGCCCCCUCUUUUGUGGCGGGUCAGGGCCAAACUGGUCCUCCAGGUACACAGGAAAUGGCAUCUUAUCUCAUUCACUUCAACCCAAGACUGGUUCUCGAUCGAGUCUUUUACUACCCCUCCCCUGUUACUGGUCUGUUGGCUAAUGUGUUGCGAAGGCUAUACAGAUUUAACAGAUUAACCUUUACUUAAUUCGACACUUUUUUUUCUUCCUAAAAGCAAACCAAAUAUCGAAUAAUGCAUUUUUAUCGGAG
rnacentral:lncRNA from 1 species